rnacentral:rRNA from 1 species
UGUAAUUUAAAGUCCAUUCUGCCCAGUGAAUUUUCAACGGCCGCAGUACCUUGACUGUGCUAAGGUAGCAUAAUAAUUUGUCUUUUAAUUAAAGACUAGAAUGAACGAAACUUUGACAAGAUACUGUUUCUUGUGAGUAUUAAUAAAUUUGCUUAGAAGGUGAAAAUUCCUUCCUUGAUUUAAUAGACGAGAAGACCCUUAGAAUUUGUAGUUGUUUUGUUGGGGCGACAAAGGAACAUUUAACUUCCUUUUUAAAUUUUAAAUCUAACUAAUAAUUUUCAUAAUAAUUAAAUUACCUAAGGGAUAACAGCAUAAUUCUUAAAGAGUUUGUGACCUCGAUGUUGGACUAAGGACUUAUUUUGACAGAUUUAAAAUAAGAUUGUUCUGUUCGAACA